rnacentral:rRNA from 1 species
GGGGGAUAUUGCACAAUGGAGGAAACUCUGAUGCAGCAACGCCGCGUGAGGGAAGAAGGUCUUUGGAUUGUAAACCUUUGUCCUUGGUGACGAAACAAAUGACGGUAGCCAAGGAGGAAGCUCCGGCUAACUACGUGCCAGCAGCCGCGGUAAUACGUAGGGAGCAAGCGUUGUCCGGAUUUACUGGGUGUAAAGGGUGCGUAGGCGGCUCUGCAAGUCAGGCGUGAAAACUAUGGGCUUAACCCAUAGACUGCGUUUGAAACUGUGGGGCUUGAGUGAAGUAGAUGUGGGCGGAAUUCCAGGGGUAGCGGUGAAAUGCGUAGAGAUCGGGAGGAACACCAGUGGCGAAGGCGGCCUACUGGGCUUUAACUGACGCUGAAGCACGAAAGCAUGGGUAGCAAAC